CGCUAGCUACAGGCUUAACACAUGCAAGUCGAGGGGCAGCAUGAACUUAGCUUGCUAAGUUUGAUGGCGACCGGCGCACGGGUGAGUAACACGUAUCCAACCUGCCGUCUACUCUUGGACAGCCUUCUGAAAGGAAGAUUAAUACAAGAUGGCAUCAUGAGUCCGCAUGUUCACAUGAUUAAAGGUAUUCCGGUAGACGAUGGGGAUGCGUUCCAUUAGAUAGUAGGCGGGGUAACGGCCCACCUAGUCUUCGAUGGAUAGGGGUUCUGAGAGGAAGGUCCCCCACAUUGGAACUGAGACACGGUCCAAACUCCUACGGGAGGCAGCAGUGAGGAAUAUUGGUCAAUGGGCGAGAGCCUGAACCAGCCAAGUAGCGUGAAGGAUGACUGCCCUAUGGGUUGUAAACUUCUUUUAUAAAGGAAUAAAGUCGGGUAUGGAUACCCGUUUGCAUGUACUUUAUGAAUAAGGAUCGGCUAACUCCGUGCCAGCAGCCGCGGUAAUACGGAGGAUCCGAGCGUUAUCCGGAUUUAUUGGGUUUAAAGGGAGCGUAGAUGGAUGUUUAAGUCAGUUGUGAAAGUUUGCGGCUCAACCGUAAAAUUGCAGUUGAUACUGGAUAUCUUGAGUGCAGUUGAGGCAGGCGGAAUUCGUGGUGUAGCGGUGAAAUGCUUAGAUAUC
rnacentral:rRNA from 1 species